rnacentral:rRNA from 1 species
GAUGAACGCUGGCGGCGUGCUUAACACAUGCAAGUCGAACGGAAAGGCCCAAGCUUGCUUGGGUACUCGAGUGGCGAACGGGUGAGUAACACGUGGGUGAUCUGCCCUGCACUUCGGGAUAAGCCUGGGAAACUGGGUCUAAUACCGGAUAGGACCACUUCUUGGAUGUUGUGGUGGAAAGUUUUUUCGGUGUGGGAUGGGCUCGCGGCCUAUCAGCUUGUUGGUGGGGUAAUGGCCUACCAAGGCGUCGACGGGUAGCCGGCCUGAGAGGGUGUACGGCCACAUUGGGACUGAGAUACGGCCCAGACUCCUACGGGAGGCAGCAGUGGGGAAUAUUGCACAAUGGGCGCAAGCCUGAUGCAGCGACGCCGCGUGGGGGAUGACGGCCUUCGGGUUGUAAACUCCUUUCGCUAGGGACGAAGCGUUUUGUGACGGUACCUGGAGAAGAAGCACCGGCUAACUACGUG